rnacentral:rRNA from 1 species
AAACCAGCACCUCAAGUGGUCAGGAUGAUUAUUGGGCCUAAAGCAUCCGUAGCCGGCUCUGUAAGUUUUCGGUUAAAUCUGUAUGCUCAACAUACAGGCUGCCGGGAAUACUGCAGAGCUAGGGAGUGGGAGAGGUAGACGGUACUCGGUAGGAAGGGGUAAAAUCCUUUGAUCUAUCGAUGACCACCUGCGGCGAAGGCGGUCUACCAGAACACGUCCGACGGUGAGGGAUGAAAGCUGGGGGAGCAAACCGGAUUAGAAACCCGAGUAGUCC